AGCCGAGUCUGACGUCACUGUAUACGUGUCACGUUUCCCAGCAACGUUAGCGCAGCAGCGGCGAAACACAAACACAACAUCAACAAUGGCGGAUGCUGCUUUACUGUUAAUGCUCAUGGCUUUGUGAACCUACAUUGGUAUCCAAACGCGGCGAAUCCGACGUGUAUGAAAAAAAGUUAGCCUUAGCAUGUAGCUACCUACUAUCAUGUGUUCUGAUAAUUGAUCAUAUUGCGGUAAAGUAAAAGUGUAUUAAACAUUAGUAUACGUAAGGUACAUUAUCUAUAGCCCUAUUCGGACGGGAUUAGUUUUACGUGGGGGUAAAGUAAUUAUUACCAGAGCUUCUCGGUGAUUUUAGUCCCAUCCGAAUGUGCCAUCUCUGUAAUCAUUACGGACAGUAAUGUCAGUAAAGAUUACGGCGACUUUUACCUUCUGUAAAAAGGUCCGGAAAAAUGACCUCAGGUAAUACUAAUCCCUUCCGAAUAGACCCGCUGUAAAUAUGUACGGUAAAAUUCCGUCAUUUCCUGUUUAAAAGUAGUUUUUGGCGCGUUUUGCAAGCAUGGAGACGCCAUGUUGUCUGUUUGCGCACGUGAUAACAGGAAGCAACGUCAUACGCACAUGACGACAAGGAGGUUACUGUGGUGCGUAAAGCGAGUUACCCCUCCCACUUCUGCUAGUCUUACUGAGAUGUCUUGUCCCGUGCGAAUUGGCCAAUUAAUAUUACAGACGUCCUGAGGUAAAAUUGCAUUACUCCACGUCCCCACGUAAAACUAAUCCUGUCCGAAUAGGGCUAAAGGCACUAACAGUAGCCCCGCCCACAGCCCCUCCCACAGCUCCUGACACAAGCGGUUCUUAAUUCUAGACCAGCAACGUUUUGGUGCUACUUAAGAACCACUUUUCCUGGUUCAGAGCCGGUGCUUUGGCUGACGAAAAAGAAAGAACUGGUUCUAAAUUAGGCUCCGAACCAGCACUCAAACUGCCUCGGUGGAAAAGGGGCAUGAGUGAACAGACUUAAGUAUUGUAAGAUUUCAUUGCUCAUCGUUUCUCAUCGGACUGAUGAUUUCCAAAAGCUGCACAUAUCACCGGAUUAUGAAAUUCAACCGGUUGUCAUGCAAAUAUUCUUCUUCGUGAUGUUACAAGGCUUUCUCACAAUUCUUUGUACGUCUUCGGCUCUGUUUCUAUAGUUACCAUAUUGAGAUAUUUAAGUUGAUGCUUUUCUUCUGUCUUUUGUAAUGUAUUUUUUUUUUUUUUUUGUUUCUUUAAAAUGACUCCAUAAUAUUGUGGCACCCAGAGCAUUCGUUUGAGAACAGACAGUUUGUACAAAUUAUGCAAGUCUUAAACAUUAAAUGGAGGUUAACAUAACAGGAAUAUUUAGUAAAAUUAGAGACUUUAUGAUAUUUUUUUAUCGAUAAAAUCUGUUUAGCCGAAAUCUACGAUGUUAAUGUUCUUUUUGUACAGAAAUGUAAUGGGGGUGAAAUGCAAAUAGCAGAACAUGUUUAUUUUUAACUUUAGCUCAGAUACAAAGGUCAAUAAAGUCUAUCUUAAUCGAACAA